UAUCUCUGUAGAGUCUGCAUAUCAAUAAGCGGAGGAAAAGAAACUAACUAGGAUUCCCUCAGUAACGGCGAGUGAAGCGGGAAGAGCUCAAAUUUGAAAUCUUCAAGGUUUACCUUGACGAAUUGUAGUUUAGAGAAGUGUUUUCUGUUGGAGUUUUGGUAAAAGUUCUUUGGAGUAGGACAUCAUAGAGGGUGAGAAUCCCGUAUUUGACCAUUACUUUCCAGCUUUGUGAUACACUUUCAAAGAGUCGGAUUGUUUGGGAAUGCAGUCCAAAAUGGGUGGUAAAUUUCAUCUAAAGCUAAAUAUUGGCGAGAGACCGAUAGCGAACAAGUACCGUGAGGGAAAGAUGAAAAGAACUUUGAAAAGAGAGUUAAACAGUACGUGAAAUUGUCAAAAGGGAAGCGAUUUGACACCAGUGUUGUUUUCUCGAAAAUCAAUUAAAAAAGGCAGGAUUUUGUGUUGUAUUGACUUUAUCAGCUUUCUGCACUCUUUUCUUGUCUUUUUUAAUGCACUUUUCGUUUAACAAGUCAACAUCAAUUUCUUUUGUUGUAAAAGGGUCAUUGGAAGGUGGCUUUCUUUUCGGAGAAAGUGUUUAUAGCCUUUGGCCUCUGCAAUCGGAGAGAUUGAGGUCUGCAGCGUAGAUCCUUCGGGGUUAGAUACAUUUGUGCUAAGUUAUAGCCUUUCAUAGACAACUUGUUGACUAUGAUCAGUCAUGUAGCUUACUCGCUUAUGCUAUUUUACCUACGCUUAGGAUGUUGACGAUCAGCUGAGCGCG
rnacentral:rRNA from 1 species